rnacentral:rRNA from 1 species
AGUGAACGCUGGCGGUAGGCCUAACACAUGCAAGUCGAACGGCAGCACAGUAAGAGCUUGCUCUUACGGGUGGCGAGUGGCGGACGGGUGAGGAAUACAUCGGAAUCUACUUUUUCGUGGGGGAUAACGUAGGGAAACUUACGCUAAUACCGCAUACGACCUACGGGUGAAAGCAGGGGAUCUUCGGACCUUGCGCGAUUGAAUGAGCCGAUGUCGGAUUAGCUAGUUGGCGGGGCAAAGGCCCACCAAGGCGACGAUCCGUAGCUGGUCUGAGAGGAUGAUCAGCCACACUGGAACUGAGACACGGUCCAGACUCCUACGGGAGGCAGCAGUGGGGAAUAUUGGACAAUGGGCGCAAGCCUGAUCUAGCCAUACCGCGUGGGUGAAGAAGGCCUUCGGGUUGUAAAGCCCUUUUGUUGGGAAAGAAAAGCAGCAGGUUAAUACCCCGCUGUUCUGACGGUACCCAAAGAAUAAGCACCGGCUAACUUCGUG